rnacentral:lncRNA from 1 species
UCCACUUCACUAGCAGCCAUUUAGUUAUUCCUCCUUCUUCUUCUACAAAAAAUGGUAUGUUCUUCUUCUCUGUUUUUUUCCCUCUUCUUCAUUUUGCUGUUAUUUUCUUUUUGAUUUUUGAAGUGUUGCAUGUGAGUAAUUUCUUUUACUUUAAUAAAAUUUUUAGAUUUUAACCUAAGAUUUGAAAUUGGGGUUUUAAAAAUUCAAUGCAACUAAGCAACUAAAUAGCAAAUAGGAUUUUUUGGAGCGCAAGAGGAAUAAACGGGUGAAGGAUGCAAAGAAGCUGCUUUUAUAGUGAUCUGUGUGCGGCUCACAUUGAGAGGUAAUAAAUGAACUUCUUUUUUCCUGAGAAAACUAUUAAGAACCUUUUUUUUUUUUUAAUUUUCAUUUUCAUAUCGAUUGUCAUUAUUUUUAUUAAUUGGUAUUUCAUACUUAUAUAUGAAAAAGUGGAUUGUACUUACGAAUUUCAGACACAUUUCUAUUUCAUUUAUAAGAAGAUGGUUUCAAGAUGACAACCUCAUAAACAUGCUUCAUUCAACUCUUUUUGGGGCUGAAAUUGGGUGUUAAUUUGAUUUAUACUUUUGUCAUGUUCUAUUCGUGUCUUCUUCUUGUGUACUUAUGAUUUUUAUUUUUUUUAUAUUUCCUGUUUUCUUACCUAUUUUAUACAUGCAUGUUCUGGUUUAUCACUGAUUUGCAUAUGUCUAAGAUUCCAUAGAUAUUAUUAGUCCAGUUCCUUCUCCCCUUUCUUUUACUGCUCUAACUUUAUUGUUUCAAACUUUGCUGAGACUGAAUUGAAAGAUGAGGGUGCUAUCUUAGUUGCAAAUGCAUUAGAAGAUUUGAGCUUUCCUCGGAUAGGGUAGACAUGAAAGUUGAUAGCUUAAGACUGUCCAAAUAAAUGACAUUGUGUGUUUCUACUUCGUUUUUCUACCUUUAUUGAGCGUCAAAAAAUUACAUAGGGACAUGUAUCCAACUUAAGUUGUUGCUCUCUGUGUUAACCCCCUCAAUAUCAUCUGGUCUUUGAAAAAGAUCCAAGAAGCAUAAUAAUAUUAUGAUUUAUGUGAGGAUAAAAAAUAAUAUCUUCUACAUAAUAAGAAAAAUAUAUUUAUUAUUACCUAUUGGAUUCAUUUCUUGUGUCAAUAUUGUUGCUUAUUUAAUGAAUCUAAUUGUAGAUUAAAUUACUAUGCUUUUAAAGUUAAAGUUUUAAUCAACUCAGGUUAUUGCACAACAGGGAUAACGGAGAUCGCUCUACUGAUGUUUGAUAAGAUGCUUUCUGAGGAUCUUGGCUCAUGGAUGUCAAUUAUAUAUGGAUAUUCUGAAAAGGACUUGUAAGGAGGUAACUAGGUUAAUCUACAUUCAUACAGAGGAUUGUCUGAGCCUUGAUAUUGUCACUUUUGUUUAUCCUAGAUGCCUGUAAAGAAUUUGGUGUGUUUUGUUUAGGAAAGGAGUCCAUGAUUCUACUAAUUAGUUUUACUACUGUUGAUAUAUGUGUCAUAGGUGUAGAAAUCUUAUUAAGGAUUAUACUCUUUUAAUGGGAAACUCAAUGUCAUUUAGAAAGCCCAA